ACACUAUUAAAUAGCUGCAGACCUGCCCGCUGCCCUGAGAGCAAACUGCUUCUGUCCGGGUGCCUAAGGACUGCGAGGGCAGGAGUGAGGGGAGCCCAGAGUCCUCAGCGCCUACGUUCUGUUCAGCUGAGCCCUCGCUGCCAUCCGAUCCUUAGUUGACACAGAGAUGUGCUACGGAUUGAACCUGGGGCCUCGAGGCAGGCUAGGAAAACACUCUACUAUGUGAACAGAAGAAGCAUAUGGAAAUGUUUAUAGGUGAAAUGACAAAGUCAGAAAGAAAUCAUGAUAGAAAGACAUAACUAGAUGAAGCCAGAUAGACAUGAUGCCAGCAGUCAUUCAGAGCAAAUGAUAACCUCUCCAUAUCUGUUGUAUGACCAUCUGUGUUUCUGUGUCCCAUCAAAAAUGUUUUUCAUUAAAAAAUGUAAA